UUUUUUUUUUUUCUUUUUUUUUACAGUGUGAGUUUUUACCCUGUUGCCCAAGAACACAAGAAAACUGCGAGGAAGGAAGAAUGAGUCAGACUCCUUUCCUCUCACUCCUAAGAAUCCGUGAACCCGACUAGUCAUGUAAUAGCACCAACCUUUCCUGCCACCUGCCCAGGGAUCUCAAAGGAUGGGAAGUGGGGAAGGCAAGAGCAAGUGGGUACAACCUCAUUGGAGUCAUUGAAACACACAACAAGGCAUGGCAGGGAGAGAGAGGGAGGGACAGCUGCAACAGCAGCCUUCCCGACAGUCCGUGUCUCUCAAGUCCAAAGAAAAAUGAAAUGACUUGGCCACCCACAAAAGGAGACCUGCCACGAAACGAGGCAGGGAGUGGGAGGCUGCAGAAGUUCCCAGGCUCCUCCUGAGAUCGCAAAGGGAGCCUUUCUACACGGCCAUGAGGUGGGUGCUGGCAGCACCAAGAUCCCGGCACUGUCGCCAGGCGGAGGGUGAGGCCAAGGCAGGGCCACACACAACACUGGGCUGCAGGACAGGGUCUGUCUGGAGCCAUGGAUGGAAACUAAAAUCCACAUGCUGACACUUCACUGCCACAGGAGCCUUGACUCAAAGACACUGCCAAAGCCAUUGCUGGCAGCCAGCACUGGCAUUUUAGAUGCAUCCUGCCAUUUACUGAAAGGAAAAUGGAACACGGAGAUGAAUUUGCUAACUGCAUUAUGGGUGGCUUCACACCUUAGGCAAUAGCCAACCAAGUCUAGGAACCCUGGCUUGCGUAGUGGACACCACUCGCCCCCUUGCUAAGGUGAAGAAGGAGCCCGACAAGAAGCAUCUAGAGCAAGGUUCUCCAUCCCCAGGCCUACAGGCUUCUCUUGCCUGUGCUGAGCCCCUCCUGGAGUCUGUUCUAUGCCACGAAUAAUUCUUGGAAUUAACAGGAAGAUAACAGAGGAAAACACUCUUUAAAUGUAUGUUAGAACCAUUAUCUAAUUCAAUUUGGCAUUGUUUUUGUUGUUAUCCUCAAGAGACUAUAUUAGUGUGGUUAAAAUAUUUUACACUUAAAAAGAAAACCUGGGGGUUCCUGUCAUGGCACAGUGGUUAACGAAUCCGACUAGGAACCCUGAGGUUGCGAGUUCGAUCCCUGUCCUUGCUCAGUGGGUUAAUGAUCCGGCGUUGCUAUGGGCUGUGGUGUAGGUUGCAGACACGGCUCGGAUCCAGAUUUGCUUCGGCUACAGCGUUGCUGCAGCUCCGAUUAGACCCCUAGCCUGGGAACCUCCAUAUUCCUUGGGAGCGGCCCAAGAAAUGGCAAAAAAAGACAAAAAAAAGAAAACUUAGAGAAUUUUUUUUUAUAUUACUUAAUGAAUUUAUUACAUUUAUAGUUGUACAAUGAUCAUCACAAUCCAAUUUUAUAGGAUUUCCAUCCCACACCCCCAGCACAUCCCCCCACCCCCCAACAUGUCUCAGGAAACCAUACGUUUUUCAAAGUCCAGUAUCUGUUCUGCAAAGAAGUUCAUUGUGUCCUUUUUUCAGAUUCCACAUGUAAGUGAUAGCAUUUGAUGUUGGUGUCUCAUUGUCUGACUUCACUUAGCAUGAUAAUUUCUAGGGCCAUCCAUGUUGCUAAGAAUGCCGUUAUUUCGUUCCUUUUAAUGGCUGAGUAAUAUUCCACUGUGUAUGUGUACCUCAUCUUGAUCCACUCCUCUGUUGGUGGACACUUAGCUUGUUUCCAUGUCUUGACUAUUGCAAAUAGUGCUGCAAUGAACAUUGGAGUAAAUGUGACUUUGUGAGUCAUGCUUUUCUCUGGAUAGAUGCCAGGGAGUGGAAUUGCUGGAUCAAAUGGUAGUUCUAUGUUUAGUUUUCUGAGGAAUCUCCAUACUGUUUUCUACAAUGGUGGCACCAAUUUACAAUCCCACCAACAGUGUAAUAGGGUUCCUUUUUCUCCACACUCUCUCCAGCACUUAUUGUCUGUUUAGAUCAUCUGCCCAUUUUUUGAUGGGGUUGUUUGUCUUUUUGGUAUUGAGCUGUAGGAGGAGUUCAUAAAUUUUGGAGAUUAAUCCCUUGUCAGUUGGUUCAUUUGCAAAUAUUUUCUCCCAUUCUGUGGGUUGUCUUUUCAUUUUGUUUAGGGUUUCCUUUGCUAUGCUGAAACCCCACAAAGAGAAUUUGACCAAGACUUGAGGACACCAGUAUUCAAACCUAAGAUCUCAGGUGAAACUCCAAUUCCACUAAACCAACAAUAAAUGUCUCAGGCAGAUCCCAGGUAUCCUCCAUCAAAUGAUGCUCCCAAGGGCCAGACCCUCUGAUGAUGGUCUAUGAGUCCAGCAGUGCUGCCCAGAAGAACAGAGCCGUGGCUCUAAAACUCUUGAAUUUGGUAAUGCAAGAUGGUAGGCAACAUGUCAAUUAAAAUUGGCUGCAUCUAUUUAUAAUGAAUCACUGGAAAUGCUGUGCAGAGGUAAAUACAUAAGCACUCUAAGACCAAACCACUUUUACUGAUCCUCUGGCCCCCUCAAUCUUAUAAAUCAGACAUAUGAAGACUGAAAAAAUCAAAUGCUCAAUCAGGACGGGUGCAAUAAUUGAAGCUGUAUUUGCACGCGGCUUACCUCUUAUGCGAAGCGUUUACCAAACAACAGCGCCAAAGAAGGAUUUUGCUGUAAUCCUGCAAGCACAGAGCACUGGGGUGGUUUUCCCCAGAAUUCCAGGGCGGCAAUGGUUGCUGAGUGCCGUGUAUGUUCACAGGAUAGUAUUCUCACAAUGUGGCCAACCCAGAGAAGCCCGCGGUUUUGGACCCUGAACCACUGUCAGAAAAUAAUGUCACAUCUACUGAUGGUGCAGAACGAACCAGCAUAAAAAACCAGACUACCACUGCUUUUGCACACUCUGGCAUGUGCCUGUGUGGGAGCUGUGCUGCCCUUCCCCCACCCUCUGGUAUUGUUUAAAAGUGACAGAGAAGACAAUAGCUCCACCAAAGUUAUUUUCACAGGCCAAAUGUCAGGUAAGGACUGGCAAAGUGGGAACACAUUUACAAGUGCUGGAGGGGGCAACAUCUGACCGCAGAAUCUGUGCAGAUGGAAGGGAUGCCCCUGGGUUGAUGGAAGGGCUCCAUUAAUUUCUGAUGAAGCCAUGAACCACAUGACUCAGGCAUUUUCACCCCUGGGGUGUUGAUCAUGCCUUUUCAACUAUGGAGAAGAGCAACGCAGAAGUUCUUGCUUUUAAAUACAGCCAGGGGAAGCAACUUUGUGUCCUAUACUUUUGUUUCUACGCUGCCUAGUGAAACCAUAGGCUCACUUUUUAAUGACUGAGAGCGCCUAACCAUCUUCAUGGUUGCGCUAUUGCUGUUUCUCUCUCCCACUUACAGUCCUGCUUAUGAAAAUCAGCAGCUAGUUGACAGCAGGGAAAGAAGUUCCAGGUGUUGGGGGAAAGAAAUCACCAUGAUUUGCCUAUUCCCUCUGAAAUAACAUGUUCCCAAAAUAUGGUACCUCAAGCAUCCUUAGUUUUCUGCAGAUUUUUUAGCUCAAAAAGUGAACAAGAUCCUUGGCUCAAGAAACAAUCAUCUCAAAGGAGACUAGCAACUCAGAACUCCAUGUAACCACUUCCUCCACAGCUUCAGCAUGUAGACGAACAGAUAGGGAGCCACACGUGACUACGUUCCUGGGGACCUGGUUCAGGCGUGAUGAUGCCUAAGAAAGGACUGUAUGCUCACCCCAAAAGGCUGCAGAAACACACUAAGAAUGAAUGCUGAGGAGCAGAUGUUUGAGAAAAGAAAUAUUUCUAGCUAGAAUCACCCUAGGUCUCAAAAAUCUUUUUUCUAGAUAUUUAUUUUAAGCAUAUACAGAGGGAAUCUGGAUUUUAAGGAUAUGGAAACUGUUCACAGGCAUUAGCUUUGUUAGACAUAGAGCAGACCUUAAACUUUUUUCAAGUAGUGUAUUUUGACGGAGCUUUUUGAUGGAGCUUUUUGGUGUAAACUUGAGACUCAUUUUGACAUGGGAAUUUUUUUUUUUUUAACUUAUUGGUCCUUGGAAAACAACCACCACCAUCAAAAAAAAAAGAAAAAAAACAAACAAACAAAAAAACACAGAAAAUAACUCAGCUUUUAAAAAAAGAACUACUCAAAGUAAUUUAACAGACACCCCUCAUCCUAUACUUGAGUCAGAGUUAAGCUGGAUUUAGGGCAAUUAUGGAAAUAAGUGGAGCAUACUGAUUGUUGAAGAAAACCAGGGGUUGCAUUGCAAUGAGAUGCCAUCUGGUCAACCUCUUCCUUUUGUUUUGUUUUUUUAUUAAUGAUUUUUAUUUUUCCAUUAUAGCUGGUUUACAGUGUUCUGUCAGUUUUCUACUGUACAGCAAAGUGACUCAAUCUCUCUCGCACACAUACACACAUAUAUACAUUCUUUUUCUCACAUUAUCCUCUAUCAUGCUCCAUCACAAGUGACUGUAUUCAGUUCCCAGUGCUAUACAGCAGGAUCUCAUUGCUUAUCCACUCCAAAUGCAAUAGUUUGCAUCUACUAACUCCCUAUUUCCAGCACAUCCCACUCCCUCCCCCUCCCCCAACCUCUUCCUUUAUAAAUAUGGCCCAGGGAAGUGACUGGGCCUUGGCUAGGUAGUGAGAACCAAGUCUUGCUCAGGUUGCCUCUCUCCAAAAUCUAUGUUCUUUCCCCAAUUUCACACCCAAUAUGUGUCAGUGACAUUUUUUAUUUCCAUCAUGUGUAAGGUAGAUGAACUCUCUUUGUCCAACUGGCUAAGCAACAUUAGCAUGUUUUCACUGAUUUGUAUACUCCUCAUGAAUGCAUCUGCAUACUAAUGUGCAACGUGUAUUACUUUUCUAUUCCUGUGUAACCAAAAACCACAGACUUAGUGGCUUAAACAAGCUGUGUUUAUCAGCUCACAGGUCUUGAGGUGAGAACUCCAGCACAUCAUGGCUGGGUACUCUGUUGAGUCUAUCAUCAAGCUGCAAUCUUGUUAAUGGUUGGACUGGAGAACCCUGGGGUAUGUGAUAGUGUGAGUCAGAACACCCUUCCUUUUUAAGGCUGAAUAAUAUUCUACUGUGCAUAUGGACACCUAGGUGGCUUUCACUUUUUUGGCUAUGAUGUAAAUAUGCUUUCAAACGUCUUUCCUCUGUUCUUAGAACAGCUGUCUUAUUGUGGUAACAGAAGCUUUUAUUUUGGUUUUAGAAAAGUAUAUAUAUUGUUUAUGGAAACAUGGGGAUAGAGAUUGGCUGCAUCAUCUAAGAGAGGAUCACCUACCAUGCCUUUCAAACCACAGGCCUUUGAGGACCAAGGCAAUAAAAACAGUCCCAUUCACCUUCCAAGAUAACCCCUACCUUCUCCUCCCUAGGGGGGGCUGGACUGCCCUCAUUCUCUCAGAGGUAUUUAAAAAAGUAAUUCCUCUCAUUACCUUCGCAGGAGCAAAGUGGAAGAAACCUCAUCGGAAUUAGUGCAAGCCCUGACUUAGAGAUUUUUUUCUAGCAAAGCAAUUUCAUUACUUUCAACCUAUGGGAAGCUAACAAAUUUGUCAGCGGAGCCUCAGGCUCCUAUUUUAAUGAACACAGGAGAAUCGUAUAUAAUUAUCAUAUCAAGCGCUACAACGGAAAUGGAGACUUCAAGUAUUUGAGGACACUGGAAAAUAGUUUACACUCCAGGAUUUUUGAACAUCCUCCCCUAGGACACUACAUCUAUCAUAAUAUCAUUUUAGCUAUUAAUUUCAAGCAUUGAUAACGGUUUUGCAAAGGUAACUUCAAAUGGUGGGCUGAAGGUGAAUGGGUUUUAUCACCUUUUAAUUUACCGUUAAAAUUCUUUACUCUGAACAAACUUAAGAAAGCUGAAAAUGUUUGCAGGAAAAACAAAAGCAGAUUUACAACGGACUGGUUUAUUUAUCUAGGUCUAGACAAGUACUUAAUUUUUUUUUUUUUUUUUUUUUUUGCAACUGACAAAAGAGCUAAGAGGAAGGAAAAAAGGAGAGAAGUCAGU
rnacentral:lncRNA from 1 species